rnacentral:rRNA from 1 species
UACAGAGGGGGCAAGCGUUAUUCGGAAUUAUUGGGCGUAAAGGGCGCGUAGGCGGCCCUUCAAGUGGUAGGUGAAAUCCCUCGGCUCAACCGAGGAUCUGCCCGCCAAACUGAAGAGCUUGAGUCCGGGAGAGGUGAGUGGAAUUCCCAGUGUAGCGGUGAAAUGCGUAGAUAUUGGGAGGAACACCAGUGGCGAAGGCGGCUCACUGGACCGGAACUGACGCUGAGGCGCGAAAGCGUGGGGAGCAAACGGG